AACGCGUGAGCAACCUGCCUUCUUGAGGGGAAUAACGUCUGGAAACGGACGCUAAUACCGCAUAACAUCUGAGAGUCGCAUGGCACUCAGAUCAAAGGAGCAAUCCGCAGGAAGAUGGGCUCGCGUCCGAUUAGCCAGUUGGCGGGGUAACGGCCCACCAAAGCGACGAUCGGUAGCCGGACUGAGAGGUUGAACGGCCACAUUGGGACUGAGACACGGCCCAG
rnacentral:rRNA from 1 species